ensembl:snRNA U6 U6 spliceosomal RNA
GUGUUCUUAUUUUGAUGGCAUAUAUACCAAAACUAAAACAACACAGAGGAAAUUGGCAUGACUCCUACAUGUAGAUGACACACAAAUUUAUGAAGCAUUCCAUAUGUUU